GUGCGAAUGCUGACAUAAGUAACGAUAAAGCGGGUGAAAAGCCCGCUCGCCGGAAGACCAAGGGUUCCUGUCCAACGUUAAUCGGGGCAGGGUGAGUCGACCCCUAAGGCGAGGCCGAAAGGCGUAGUCGAUGGGAAACGGGUUAAUAUUCCCGUACUUGGUGUUACUGCGAAGGGGGGACGGAGAAGGCUAUGUUGGCCGGGCGACGGUUGUCCCGGUUUAAGCGUGUAGGUGUGUGUUCCAGGUAAAUCCGGUUCACUUUAACACUGAGGCGUGACGACGAGGCACUACGGUGCUGAAGCAACAAAUGCCCUGCUUCCAGGAAAAGCCUCUAAGCAUCAGGUAACAUCAAAUCGUACCCCAAACCGACACAGGUGGUCAGGUAGAGAAUACCAAGGCGCUUGAGAGAACUCGGGUGAAGGAACUAGGCAAAAUGGUGCCGUAACUUCGGGAGAAGGCACGCUGACACGUAGGUGAAGUGAUUUACUCAUGGAGCUGAAGUCAGUCGAAGAUACCAGCUGGCUGCAACUGUUUAUUAAAAACACAGCACUGUGCAAACACGAAAGUGGACGUAUACGGUGUGACGCCUGCCCGGUGCCGGAAGGUUAAUUGAUGGGGUCAGCGCAAGCGAAGCUCCUGAUCGAAGCCCCGGUAAACGGCGGCCGUAACUAUAACGGUCCUAAGGUAGCGAAAUUCCUUGUCGGGUAAGUUCCGACCUGCACGAAUGGCGUAAUGAUGGCCAGGCUGUCUCCACCCGAGACUCAGUGAAAUUGAACUCGCUGUGAAGAUGCAGUGUACCCGCGGCAAGACGGAAAGACCCCGUGAACCUUUACUAUAGCUUGACACUGAACAUUGAGCCUUGAUGUGUAGGAUAGGUGGGAGGCUUUGAAGUGUGGACGCCAGUCUGCAUGGAGCCGACCUUGAAAUACCACCCUUUAAUGUUUGAUGUUCUAACGUGGACCCGUUACCCGGGUUGCGGACAGUGUCUGGUGGGUAGUUUGACUGGGGCGGUCUCCUCCUAAAGAGUAACGGAGGAGCACGAAGGUUGGCUAAUCCUGGUCGGACAUCAGGAGGUUAGUGCAAUGGCAUAAGCCAGCUUGACUGCGAGCGUGACGGCGCGAGCAGGUGCGAAAGCAGGUCAUAGUGAUCCGGUGGUUCUGAAUGGAAGGGCCAUCGCUCAACGGAUAAAAGGUACUCCGGGGAUAACAGGCUGAUACCGCCCAAGAGUUCAUAUCGACGGCGGUGUUUGGCACCUCGAUGUCGGCUCAUCACAUCCUGGGGCUGAAGUAGGUCCCAAGGGUAUGGCUGUUCGCCAUUUAAAGUGGUACGCGAGCUGGGUUUAGAACGUCGUGAGACAGUUCGGUCCCUAUCUGCCGUGGGCGCUGGAGAACUGAGGGGGGCUGCUCCUAGUACGAGAGGACCGGAGUGGACGCAUCACUGGUGUUCGGGUUGUCAUGCCAAUGGCACUGCCCGGUAGCUAAAUGCGGAAGAGAUAAGUGCUGAAAGCAUCUAAGCACGAAACUUGCCCCGA
rnacentral:rRNA from 1 species